UCCAUGUAUAAUAAUAAUCAUUAUUAUCAGGGAGGACCACAAAGCCGUCCAGAGUACCCUCAUCGACCACAGGCAUCAUCAUCGUCAUCCUCUCGUGCAUCGAGCUAUAUUGGUUAGCUGGAUAAGGUACCGCCAACUGGUACUCAAGGGCCGCAGUUCCAACCGUCUUACACCUAUGUUCAAGCUGGUCAAAACAAUAGCAGAAACACAAAUGCAACAGCUAGCGGAACGUCUACUACCAUGCCCGUGAUGGGUCAACGUUAUUAAGUACAACAUAUGGAGGAGGAAGAAGAUUGGUCCAUGUGUGAGCUAGCUAGUCGUAUGGCAGAGAGAGAAAAAUAGAUUCUGUUUGUUAAUUUAUAUAUGCAAUAAGCUCUUGAUUAUUUGAUUCAUUGAUUGUAUUUGC